rnacentral:rRNA from 1 species
AUUGAACGCUGGCGGCAGGCCUAACACAUGCAAGUCGAGCGGAUGAAGGGAGCUUGCUCCUGGAUUCAGCGGCGGACGGGUGAGUAAUGCCUAGGAAUCUGCCUGGUAGUGGGGGAUAACGUCCGUAAACGGGCGCUAAUACCGCAUACGUCCUGAGGGAGAAAGUGGGGGAUCUUCGGACCUCACGCUAUCAGAUGAGCCUAGGUCGGAUUAGCUAGUUGGUGGGGUAAAGGCCUACCAAAGCGACGAUCCGUAACUGGUCUGAGAGGAUGAUCAGUCACACUGGAACUGAGACACGGUCCAGACUCCUACGGGAGGCAGCAGUGGGGAAUAUUGGACAAAGGGCGAAAGCCUGAUCCAGCCAUGCCGCGUGUGUGAAGAAGGUCUUCGGAUUGUAAAGCACUUUAAGUUGGGAGGAAGGGCAGUAAGUUAAUACCUUGCUGUUUUGACGUUACCAACAGAAUAAGCACCGGCUAACUUCGUG